rnacentral:lncRNA from 1 species
UGUGACAAUAUGAUGGGCUUAAAAUAUAUAUAUAGAUAUAUAUUAUAUAUUAUUUUAUAUUUAUAUUUAUGAUUAUACAUUCUCGAAAUGUUUAUUAAAUUGAAUAAAAUAAAUACAGGGGAAUAUCUAUUAAGGAAAACAUGACCUUGUAAAAGGUUGUUCAAUUGACCGUUACGUUGCAUAUUUACAGGUGGUGACAUGUAGCAAUUAGUUAAAACACGGGAAAUAUGUGUAUUCUUUGACCAUUAAUCUCCA